AGCAGCCGCGGUAAUUCCAGCUCCAAUAGCGUAUAUUAAAGUUGUUGCAGUUAAAAAGCUCGUAGUUGAAUUUUAGGCCUGGCCGGGCGGUCCGUCUUUGGCGAGUACUGUCCUGUGUCGGGUCUUCCUUCUGGUGAACCAGUAUGUCCUUUAUUGGGUGUGCCGGGGAGCCAGGACCAUUACCUUGAAAAAAUUAGAGUGUUUAAAGCGGGCUUUUGCUUGAAUAGAUUAGCAUGGAAUAAUAGAAUAGGACGUUGUGGUUCUAUUUUGUUGGUUUCUAGGACCACCGUAAUGAUUAAUAGGGAUAGUUGGGGGCAUUAGUAUUCAAUUGUCAGAGGUGAAAUUCUUGGAUUUAUUGAAGACUAACUAUUGCGAAAGCAUUUGCCAAGGAUGUUUUCAUUAAUCAAGAACGAAAGUUAGGGGAUCGAAGACGAUCAGAUACCGUCGUAGUCUUAACCAUAAACUAUGCCGACUAGGAAUCGGGCGACGUUAUUUCAUGACUCGCUCGGCGCCUUAUGGG
rnacentral:rRNA from 1 species